rnacentral:rRNA from 1 species
GGGAUUGCCCUAGUAACGGCGAGUGAAGCGGCAACAGCUCAAAUUUGAAAUCUGGCUCUUUUAGAGUCCGAGUUGUAAUUUGCAGAGGGCGCUUUGGCGUUGGCAGCGGUCCAAGUUCUUUGGAACAGGACGUCACAGAGGGUGAGAAUCCCGUACGUGGUCGCUAGCCUUCGCCGUGUAAAGCCCCUUCGACGAGUCGAGUUGUUUGGGAAUGCAGCUCUAAAUGGGAGGUAAAUUUCUUCUAAAGCUAAAUACUGGCCAGAGACCGAUAGCGCACAAGUAGAGUGAUCGAAAGAUGAAAAGCACUUUGGAAAGAGAGUCAAAUAGCACGUGAAAUUGUUGAAAGGGAAGCGCUUGCAGCCAGACUUGCCUGUAGUUGCUUAUCUGGACUUUUGUCCAGUGCACUCUUCUGCGGGCAGGCCAGCAUCAGUUUGGGCGGUUGGAUAAAGGUCUCUGUCAUGUACCUCCUUUCGGGGAGGCCUUAUAGGGGAGACGACAUGCAACCAGCCUGGACUGAGGUCCGCGCAUCUGCUAGGAUGCUGGCGUAAUGGCUGUAAGCGGCCCGUCUUGAAACACGGACCAAGGAGUCUAACAUCUAUGCGAGUGUUUGGGUGUCAAGCCCAGACGCGUAAUGAAAGUGAACGGAGGUGGGAACCUUUUAGGUGCACCAUCGACCGAUCCUGAUGUCUUCGGAAGGAUUUGAGUAAGAGCAUAGCUGUUGGGACCCGAAAGAUGGUGAACUAUGCUUGAAUAGGGUGAAGCCAGAGGAAACUCUGGUGGAGGCUCGCAGCGGUUCUGACGUGCAAAUCGAUCGUCAAAUUUGGGCAUAGGGGCG